rnacentral:rRNA from 1 species
AGUGAACGCUGGCGGUAGGCCUAACACAUGCAAGUCGAGCGGCAGCACAGUAAGAGCUUGCUCUUACGGGUGGCGAGUGGCGGACGGGUGAGGAAUACAUCGGAAUCUACUUUUUCGUGGGGGAUAACGUAGGGAAACUUACGCUAAUACCGCAUACGACCUACGGGUGAAAGCAGGGGAUCUUCGGACCUUGCGCGAUUGAAUGAGCCGAUGUCGGAUUAGCUAGUUGGCGGGGUAAAGGCCCACCAAGGCGACGAUCCGUAGCUGGUCUGAGAGGAUGAUCAGCCACACUGGAACUGAGACACGGUCCAGACUCCUACGGGAGGCAGCAGUGGGGAAUAUUGGACAAUGGGCGCAAGCCUGAUCCAGCCAUACCGCGUGGGUGAAGAAGGCCUUCGGGUUGUAAAGCCCUUUUGUUGGGAAAGAAAAGCAGCAGGUUAAUACCCCGCCGUUCUGACGGUACCCAAAGAAUAAGCACCGGCUAACUUCGUG